UACGUAGGUGGCAAGCGUUGUCCGGAUUUACUGGGCGUAAAGAGCGCGCAGGCGGCUGGGCAAGUCCGAUGUGAAAGCUCCCGGCUUAACUGGGAAAUUGCAUCGGAAACUGCUCAGCUUGAAGGUGGGAGAGGGUAGCGGAAUUCCCGGUGUAGUGGUGAAAUGCGUAGAUAUCGGGAGGAACAUCAGUGGCGAAAGCGACUUCCUGGACCAAUACUGACGCUCAUGUGCGAAAGCGUGGGGAGCAAACAGG
rnacentral:rRNA from 1 species